AUGAUAUACUACUUGACGGAGGGAGUGCAUGUUGCCGAGAAAAACAGAAGUUUUGCACAUCGCCGCGGCAUAGUUGGGCCGCGCCACGCUGUUGGCGGCAGCAGCUUAAAGGCAUCUAUCCUUUAUAGCCAAGGUGUCCAAUGCUGCAACAGUGAUCGGAGGCGAACAAGGAUGAACGAAGACGGGGAAGAUGAUGGUCGGCACAUCGGGAAGAGAGAGAACCAAGCGAACAAAGUGAGGUGGGACUUUCAGAAAACAUGGAGCCUCACCAAAGCAGCAGUACAAAGACACCAUCACCACCACACACGGACAACUGCUCCCGAGUCAUGA
rnacentral:rRNA from 1 species